rnacentral:rRNA from 1 species
GUGCAGCAGUCGAGAAACCUCCGCAAUGCUCGAAAGAGCGACGGGGGGACUCCAAGUGCCUACGCUUUGCGUAGGCUUUUCCCAAGCCUAAAAAGCUUGGGGAAUAAGGGCUGGGUAAGACGGGUGCCAGCCGCCGCGGUAAUACCCGCAGCCCGAGUGGUGGCCGCUUUUAUUGGGCCUAAAGCGUCCGUAGCCGGUCUGGUAAAUGCCUGGGUAAAUCGUCUGGCUCAACCAGACGAAUUCCGGGUAGACUGCCAGACUAGGGACCGGAGGAAGGAGAGGGUACGUCCGGGGGUAGGGGUGAAAUCAGCAAGGUGAGUUGUUGAUGUAACUUGCCUUGCAAGUCACAAUCCUGUAAUCCUCGGAGGACCACCGGUGGCGAAGGCUCUCUCCUAGGACGGGUCCGACGGUGAGGGACGAAAGCCAGGGGAGCAAACCGGAUUAGAUACCCGUGUA